GAUGAACGCUGGCGGCGUGCUUAACACAUGCAAGUCGAACGGUGAAGCAGAGCUUGCUCUGUGGAUCAGUGGCGAACGGGUGAGUAACACGUGAGCAACCUGCCCCUGACUCUGGGAUAAGCGCUGGAAACGGCGUCUAAUACUGGAUAUGAGCUGCGACCGCAUGGUCAGCAGUUGGAAAGAUUUUUCGGUCUGGGAUGGGCUCACGGCCUAUCAGCUUGUUGGUGAGGUAAUGGCUCACCAAGGCGUCGACGGGUAGCCGGCCUGAGAGGGUGACCGGCCACACUGGGACUGAGACACGGCCCAGAAUCCUACGGGAGGCAGCAGGGGGGAAUAUUGCACAAUGGGCGAAAGCCUGAUGCAGCAACGCCGCGUGAGGGAUGACGGCCUUCGGGUUGUAAACCUCUUUUAGCAGGGAAGAAGCGAAAGUGACGGUACCUGCAGAAAAAGCGCCGGCUAACUACGUG
rnacentral:rRNA from 1 species